GGAAGUAAAAGUCGUAACAGGUCUCCGUAGGUGAACCUGCGGAGGGAUCAUUACAGAGUUCAUGCCCUACCGGGUAGAUCUCCCACCCUAUGUUAUUAUUACUUUGUUGCUUUGGCGGGCCGUUAGGCUCCGGCCCGACUACCGGCCCCGGCUGGUAAGCGCCCGCCAGAGGACCCAAAACCCUGAAUAUUAGUGUCGUCUGAGUACUAUAUAAUAGUUAAAACUUUCAACAACGGAUCUCUUGGUUCUG
rnacentral:misc_RNA from 1 species